UACAGAGGGUGCAAACGUUGCUCGGAAUUACUGGGCGUAAAGGGCGCGUAGGCGGCCUGUUAAGUCGAACGUGAAAUCCCCGGGCUCAACCCGGGAACUGCGUCCGAUACUGGCAGGCUUGAAUUCGGGAGAGGGAUGCGGAAUUCCAGGUGUAGCGGUGAAAUGCGUAGAUAUCUGGAGGAACACCGGUGGCGAAGGCGGGUCUCUGGGCCGAUACUGACGCUGAGGAGCGAAAGCGUGGGGAGCGAACAGG
rnacentral:rRNA from 1 species